UCCUUGCGAUGCCCGCCGGGCCGUGCUGCCUGCAGGCAGGACGUGGCUAGGGCAGCGCCUGCAGCAGCGUGACCGGCCCUGCGUGAGGAGGGGCUGCCGGUGGAUUUGGUUUUAUGAAGUAGGUUGAGACCCCGCUCUUCGCUGCUGCAGCCCUUCUGGUGCUGUGUUGAAGCCACAGCUUUGCGUCUGCAGAAAACCACUUUCAUUCAGCUCCAGCUGUGGGAUAAGCACCCUUUUGGCAGAGACUGCAGCCCCUUACGGCCAUUUUAUGAAGCAGUUCGUGGCCUCGGCCCGUGGGUCCCUUUGUGCCCGGCUCCAGGACUGGGUGAGGAGGGAUGCUGGACGUGCUGAAGGAUUAUGAGAGUUCUGUUGCUGCCUUAGCUGUCCUGUACCACGCCUGGCGAUGACCACUGAGUCAUAUUCUGCUGUGCAGGCUGCUCCGUACUCGGCCAUCAGGCCUGCAUCCUCCAACAGAUUCAUCAAGCUGGCAACGUAAUGACAGAGCUGUUUGGUACCCACGCCAAGGGUGUCCGAUCACCUCGCAUUUGGCUCAGAAAAUCUGUCCUUGCAGCAGUCCUGUGGGAGGGUUGUGAAGUCCCGGGGACUCCCAGGGCAGUUCACCAGUUGAGAAAUGGUUUGGAUUGGGUUCUUAGAUCAUCCGAGGUGAACGGCUAGUCCUGGCGCCAGGAUACAGGUAUGGUUUAAACACUUGAGGUGAAAGCUGUUGGUGGGGAGCGGUGGGGACCGUUCACAACAGAACAUCUGCUUUCCUCAGAAUCGUCGGGUUCACCAGCAGUCUUUCUGCAUUAAAGGCUUUGUUGGGAGGUUCAGACGUCCUCAUACCUCUGCUCUGAUACUUGCGUGUUUUACUCUUUCCGAUAUCUACUUGAAAAGAAGAGUGUGGCUCUUGAUUUUUGGCAGAUAAAAGUAAAACAGUGGGUGGAAGUUGGACCCUGCAUCAAGGCAUACAUUUUUAAGCAAAGAAAAAAAAGGUGUUAAAACAACUUGGGUGGUGCUAUCUCACCACUUCAUUCCCCGGCAGAGGAGCCGUACACCUUAGGUGCUGUUCUCUGGUACGGCCUUGCCAAUGUCAGCAGGGCUCACGUGGCCACCUCCUGCCCUCUGCAUUGGCAGUGGUUGCUGGCUGAGUCACCUGCUUCUGCUGGACACGAGUUGUUGUGCUCGCUGCGAGACAGCAGCUGAAAGUCUCUGGCCUGCCUUACAGGGUGUCUGACAAAGUGACCGUAACGACCCUUUCUGCCCUGGAAAUCUCUGAAUUCCUGGUAGGCUAAGAAAUGACACUGUACUUGCAUAGCUGAGCGUCGCUAAACCCAUCUUCUUUUGAGGCUUGCAAAACAAAUAGAUACCCAAGAGAAGAUGGUACUAAUUGCUGCCGUCAUGACGUAUUCAGCUCCUGUUUUUAUGGUUUCUGCAAAGCCUGUUUUGGGGAGACUUUUUUUUUUAAGCUAUCUGGGGAAGAACAGACAAGCUUUUGGCACACGGUUCUACAUCAAAUCUCUUCAGUUUUGCCAGGCUCUGUUUCUUUGUAGGCACCCUGUAUAUUGUAGAGGCUGCCGCCUGUUCCUGACUGUGCCCUAGAAUGGAAACUUGAACCAAUGAUUGUUGUAAUGAAUGUGCAAUAAAUCUG